rnacentral:rRNA from 1 species
GUGACUGCGUACCUUUUGUAUAAUGGGUCAGCGACUUAUAUUCUGUAGCAAGGUUAACCGCAUAGGGGAGCCGGAGGGAAACCGAGUCUUAACUGGGCGUUAAGUUGCAGGGUAUAGACCCGAAACCCGGUGAUCUAGCCAUGGGCAGGUUGAAGGUUGGGUAACACUAACUGGAGGACCGAACCGACUAAUGUUGAAAAAUUAGCGGAUGACCUGUGGCUGGGGGUGAAAGGCCAAUCAAACCGGGAGAUAGCUGGUUCUCCCCGAAAGCUAUUUAGGUAGCGCCUCGUGAAUUCAUCUCCGGGGGUAGAGCACUGUUUCGGCUAGGGGGCCAUCCCGGCUUACCAACCCGAUGCAAACUGCGAAUACCGGAGAAUGUUAUCACGGGAGACACACGGCGGGUGCUAACGUCCGUCGUGAAGAGGGAAACAACCCAGACCGCCAGCUAAGGUCCCAAAGUCAUGGUUAAGUGGGAAACGAUGUGGGAAGGCCCAGACAGCCAGGAUGUUGGCUUAGAAGCAGCCAUCAUUUAAAGAAAGCGUAAUAGCUCACUGGUCGAGUCGGCCUGCGCGGAAGAUGUAACGGGGCUAAACCAUGCACCGAAGCUGCGGCAGCGACGCUGAUGCGUUGUUGGGUAGGGGAGCGUUCUGUAAGCCUGUGAAGGUGGCCUGUGAGGGUUGCUGGAGGUAUCAGAAGUGCGAAUGCUGACAUAAGUAACGAUAAAGCGGGUGAAAAGCCCGCUCGCCGGAAGACCAAGGGUUCCUGUCCAACGUUAAUCGGGGCAGGGUGAGUCGACCCCUAAGGCGAGGCCGAAAGGCGUAGUCGAUGGGAAACGGGUUAAUAUUCCCGUACUUGGUGUUACUGCGAAGGGGGGACGGAGAAGGCUAUGUUGGCCGGGCGACGGUUGUCCCGGUUUAAGCGUGUAGGUGUGUGUUCCAGGUAAAUCCGGUUCACUUUAACACUGAGGCGUGAUGACGAGGCACUACGGUGCUGAAGCAACAAAUGCCCUGCUUCCAGGAAAAGCCUCUAAGCAUCAGGUAACAUCAAAUCGUACCCCAAACCGACACAGGUGGUCAGGUAGAGAAUACCAAGGCGCUUGAGAGAACUCGGGUGAAGGAACUAGGCAAAAUGGUGCCGUAACUUCGGGAGAAGGCACGCUGACACGUAGGUGAAGUGAUUUACUCACGGAGCUGAAGUCAGUCGAAGAUACCAGCUGGCUGCAACUGUUUAUUAAAAACACAGCACUGUGCAAACACGAAAGUGGACGUAUACGGUGUGACGCCUGCCCGGUGCCGGAAGGUUAAUUGAUGGGGUCAGCGCAAGCGAAGCUCCUGAUCGAAGCCCCGGUAAACGGCGGCCGUAACUAUAACGGUCCUAAGGUAGCGAAAUUCCUUGUCGGGUAAGUUCCGACCUGCACGAAUGGCGUAAUGAUGGCCAGGCUGUCUCCACCCGAGACUCAGUGAAAUUGAACUCGCUGUGAAGAUGCAGUGUACCCGCGGCAAGACGGAAAGACCCCGUGAACCUUUACUAUAGCUUGACACUGAACAUUGAGCCUUGAUGUGUAGGAUAGGUGGGAGGCUUUGAAGUGUGGACGCCAGUCUGCAUGGAGCCGACCUUGAAAUACCACCCUUUAAUGUUUGAUGUUCUAACGUGGACCCGUGAUCCGGGUUGCGGACAGUGUCUGGUGGGUAGUUUGACUGGGGCGGUCUCCUCCUAAAGAGUAACGGAGGAGCACGAAGGUUGGCUAAUCCUGGUCGGACAUCAGGAGGUUAGUGCAAUGGCAUAAGCCAGCUUGACUGCGAGCGUGACGGCGCGAGCAGGUGCGAAAGCAGGUCAUAGUGAUCCGGUGGUUCUGAAUGGAAGGGCCAUCGCUCAACGGAUAAAAGGUACUCCGGGGAUAACAGGCUGAUACCGCCCAAGAGUUCAUAUCGACGGCGGUGUUUGGCACCUCGAUGUCGGCUCAUCACAUCCUGGGGCUGAAGUAGGUCCCAAGGGUAUGGCUGUUCGCCAUUUAAAGUGGUACGCGAGCUGGGUUUAGAACGUCGUGAGACAGUUCGGUCCCUAUCUGCCGUGGGCGCUGGAGAACUGAGGGGGGCUGCUCCUAGUACGAGAGGACCGGAGUGGACGCAUCACUGGUGUUCGGGUUGUCAUGCCAAUGGCACUGCCCGGUAGCUAAAUGCGGAAGAGAUAAGUGCUGAAAGCAUCUAAGCACGAAACUUGCCCCGAGAUGAGUUCUCCCUGAGACUU